GACCUGGUGGCGUAAUGGUAACACGCACAUUGUCGGUCUCCUCGCAAUAUUGCAUAAUUGCGAGUCCCUCGUUCGAAUCGGGGUCAGGUCG